CCAUUUACGACCUCUUGACAA
rnacentral:misc_RNA from 1 species